rnacentral:lncRNA from 1 species
AGAUGGAGUAUCCUUAUGUUGCCUAGGCUGGUCUAGAACUCCUGAGGUCAAGUGAUCCUCCAGCCUCAGCCUUCCAAUGUGAUGGGAUUAUAGGUAUGAGCCACUGCACCCUGCCAGGAAAGUUGUUGAAAAAGACUAGCAUGUUGGUGUGUGUUGGCAGCUCCUCAGAUCUUUCAGUAUGGGAUAUAAAGGGGUUGUAAUUGAUUGGUUGGAAAUAAUCAGUGUGCAAACAACAAUGGAAAUGGAAGAGAAUACAUCUUGGUAAUAAAAUCUCUGUCUGUCCAUGGCCUAUAAUAUAAAUUGCAUAAAUUUCUAGUAAUUUGAUAUCUUGCAAUGUUGUAAAAAUCAACUACUUUUAUACUCCAAAUAAUAGGGAAACAAUGAUCAUCUAGAGCCCUUGUCAAGGGUCUCCUAUUGAGAGUCCUUAGACAGUGUGACACAUCUCUAUGGCAAAGAUCAGAUAUAAUAUGUUACAUUUACACAAGUAACAGACUUCUGGCUCUCCUCCAACUCAGGUAUACUCUUCUGCCGAGAGACUGUACUUCUCAGCCUCCCUUGUGGCUAGGUGUGCCAUGUGACUAAGUGCUCAUGAUUGAGAUGUAAGUAAAUGUGAAAUGCAGGACAGCAAUACCCCUUAUUAAAUGUAAUUGCCCAUAAUUCCCUUGUUUUUUACUUUCAUCCCAAAUGAAAAUGGUGAUGACCAGGGCAACACUAAUAGCUGUGUAUCAUGGAUAACAAAGCCAUACCCAAUUUGUUGGGUUCUGGACUGAUUCAUGGAGCAUAGAGUUCCUGGGCUCAUAAUGUAAGCAGAAAACACUCUUCAGUUUUAAUAAGAAAUCUAUAUUGUGGGGCUUAUUAGCUCUAGCAAUGUAGGUUUUACUGUAGCUAAUAAAUAAUUGGUACAUUGGAAGGCUUUCUGCCUGCCACAAAAACCUAAAAAAAAUGUGGAAUAGACACGUAAGUGAGAGUGAAGGCAGUACAUUUAUUUAAAGUGUCACUUCUGGUAACUGGAAGAGCAAACCCCUUGCCUAAAGAGCCUUCAGCUGGAGGAGAGGCUGAUGGAAAGGGCCAGAAUGUUACCAUGUGUUAGCUGUUUAUUGCUGCAUUUAGCUAGCUUAUUUCAGGAAUUAAUGAGCUGAAGGAAGAACAAGACAAUUUCAAGUAGAGUUUGAAGAGAAUAAAGAGUCCAGAAAUGUGGGAUCUGAUGGGGCUGGAAAAGCCACCUUCGUUUAUCACCCUACACAGUAGGAGAUAACCCUGCUGCUCAAAAGAUUUAAUAAAAAAUGUCCAUUAAGAAUUCUCAGCUCAACAAGUGAAUCUAUAGAUCAUCUGUGCAAAAGAUCAGAUAAAGUAUGUUGCUUUCCAAAUAAGUCUAUUAUUUUAUAUGGUUUUAUACUUUCAAGAGCCAUCAUCAAAAUGGUAACAAUUGACACUGGCUUAACAAAGAAGUGAGACCGUAAGAAUAGGUUUCAUAAUUAUUUCCAGAAAAGAGCCUUGGAUGUAGGUUUCCAGCACAAGAAAAUAGCUGUAUGCAGUUAGACCAUAAACUCAUUGAAUCUUCUAAUAAUUUUUUUUUUUUACUAAAGAAAUCAAAUAUUUAGCCUUCAAAAAGUCCCAAGUUCCCAAAUUAGUGGGUGCAGAAGCAGGCUAUGAAAACUGCAGUGCUUCUGACAAAAGAAAUCUCUUUAAUAUUCAUGCAGAUGUGGUGAGGGAGAAUGUAUUACAAGAACAAAUUUUUUCAGAGAGAAAGCCAGGACCGCAGAGGAUAGAGGACAGGAAAUUCUUUUCAAUAAGCAGCGAUCAGUUUUAAGCAAGAAACUUUCUCCACUGGUAGAGCAGAGAGUCUCUGCAAUUUUUGUCCUGCAAAAUUUUAUUGCUCUGAGCAGUGACUGCGUGGUCAUUCUUUUUUUUCUCAAAUGAGACAUUUUAUUGUAAUUUUAAGUAAUAUAUAGUUGCUAUUAAUGAUACGUAGGAAACUUUUGUGAUAGAGAGGACUGUACCCAAAUAUCCUGACAUCUGAACUGUAUACCAUGCCUGAGUGUAACUAUGGCUUGUCUUUCUUGGGAAGUGGGUAGACAUGUUCUAACUUGAGGAAGAAGGGUGUGCAGAUUAUAAAAGAUACUGCUGUCUGUCUUUCUAUUAAUAAUAACUAGCCUUCCUCCAGGGUUUUUUCUGGUCUGUGUCAACUAGGUUUAGAGAUUUCACUACACUUCAGCCAAAGAGAUGUGCACAGAAAUGAGGCAAACAACCUCACAUCGCAUCUUUUCAAAGGAACGCUGCUUGCCCUUUGCUCUAUCUUUUCCCUCUUUUGUCGGAUCUGCUGGACUGUAUUUUUCACGUAUUGUCACAUGAUAAUGUCUCAUUUCUCAUGCUCUUCUUGCAAUUUUAUUGGCAAUCCUCCAAAUAUUUCCUGGAUUCCAAGCUCUCUCUUUAUUAAACUGAAUUGAGACUUGUAACUAAACCGACUGGUAGAGUAUGGUAGAAGUGAUGGAAUAUAAACUCUAAGGCAACUCGUAAAACAUAAUUCUCUUCAAUUUGGCUUUCUUUCUGAGUCAGGAUGUUCACCUUUGGAACCUAGCCACUAUACCGUGAGGAAGUGCAGACCACAUGGAGCCACCAUGUAUAGCUGCUCCAUUCAACAGCCCUUGCUAAGUUCUCAGAAAACAGUCUGUAUCAAUUGUUAAGAUAUGUAAAUAAACAAGCUACUGUAUAGCUCAAGUGUUUCACAAGGCAACGCUGGAAUAAGGAAGGCAGAAAUUUGAACCUGGAUGUCUCUGGAGCAGAGUUCCCUAUCACUUUGGGCUGUUUUCCCUCUUCUUGAACUUUAGGAGUGAGAAAUAAGUGUCUAUCUUAUGAAAACAACUGAAUUUGGGGAUCUCUAAAAUAGUGGUAAGAAAUAAGAUUAAAGCUUUUAUAGCCUGAUUCCUGCUGUCAGAGUUCUGAGAAACAGAACUUUGCCCAUAUCUUACUUUAUACCCCAAUGCCUUGUAAUUAUGAUUUAAUUAAUUAGCAAUUUUUAUUAGAAAUAUAUUCACUUAGAAAAUAUGCUUUGACUUCCCACCAUAUAGCAGAGUCUGGUUCUUGCUGCUGUGAAAAGGAUAAGGAAGAAGCUAUGCAUGAUCUUUGUCCUUGUAUUACUUUCCUAUUGCUGCUGUAACAAAAUGCCACAAACUUUGUGGCUUAAAACAGCACACAUUAAUUCUCUUAGGAAAAAAAUUAGAGUUCUGGAGGUUGGAGUUUAAAAAUCAAAGUGUUGGUUGGAUUGAGUUACUCUUGGAGGCUUGUGGAGUAAUCCAUUUCCUUGCCUUUUCCAG